GAUGAACGCUGGCGGCGUGCCUAAUACAUGCAAGUCGAGCGAACAGACGAGGAGCUUGCUCCUCUGACGUUAGCGGCGGACGGGUGAGUAACACGUGGAUAACCUACCUAUAAGACUGGGAUAACUUCGGGAAACCGGAGCUAAUACCGGAUAAUAUAUUGAACCGCAUGGUUCAAUAGUGAAAGACGGUUUUGCGGUCACUUAUCGAUGGAUCCGCGCCGCAUUAGCUAGUUGGUAAGGUAACGGCUUACCAAGGCGACGAUGCGUAGCCGACCUGAGAGGGUGAUCGGCCACACUGGAACUGAGACACGGUCCAGACUCCUACGGGAGGCAGCAGUAGGGAAUCUUCCGCAAUGGGCGAAAGCUUGACGGAGCAACGCCGAGUGAGUGAUGAAGGUCUUCGGAUCGUAAAACUCUGUUAUUAGGGAAGAACAAAUGUGUAAGUAACUAUGCACGUCUUGACGGUACCUAAUCAGAAAGCCACGGCUAACUACGUG
rnacentral:rRNA from 1 species